rnacentral:lncRNA from 1 species
UCUUGCUGUCUCCCAGGCUGGAGUGCAGUGGCGAGAUCUCGGCUCACUGCAAGCUCCGCCUCCCAGGUUCACGCCAUUCUCCUGCCUCAGCCUCCCGAGUAGCUGGGACUACAGGCACCCGCUGCCACGCCUGGCUAAUUUUUUGUAUUUUUAGUAGAGACAGGGCUUCACCGUGUUAGCCAGGAUGGUCUCGAUCUCCUGACCUCGUGAUCCGCCUGCCUCGGCCUCCCAAAGUGCUGGGAUUACAAGCGUGAGCCACCAUGCCCGGCCAAUUUUUGUAUUUUUAGUAGAGACAGGGUUUUGCCAUAUUUGCCAGGCUAAUCUUGAACUCCUGACCUCAAGUGAUCUACCCACCUCAGCCUCCCAAAGUGCUGGGAUUACAGGUGUGAGCCACUGUGCCCAGCACCCCCAACCUUUUUGACACCAGGGAUCAGUUUCAAAAAAGACAAUUUUUCAACGAAUGGGGAUGGGGUUGGGGGUAGGAGUUAGCCAGAUGGUCUGGGGAUGAAACUGUUCCAUGUCAGAUCAUCAGGCAUUAGAUUCUCAUUAGGAACAUGCAACCUAGAUCCCUCACGUGCGCAGUUCACAAUAGAGUUCACGCUCCCGUGAGAAUCUGAUGCCACCGCUGAUCUGACAAGAGACGGAGCUCCAGCGGUAAUGCUCCCUCACCUGCCACUCACCUCCUGCUGCACAACCUGAUUUGUAACAAGUCACGGACCAGCUGGGGACCAUGGACCCCUGCCUUUGAGAUUCCUCCACUCCACUGUGGGAAGGGGCACCUUCUGAACCAACGUUUUGCAUGUGUCUUCAUCCCCUGCUUGCACUCCAGAUCUUUCCUUCCUUCACUUAAUCACCUGUUAGCAUUUACCAAGUGCUUGCUCUGUCCUGGACGUUAUACAAUGAGGUGGUCCUGGACCCUGGGGUCUUGCUGUGUGUGGGCGGGGGUGAUUUCCCAGGGAUGGCUCUCAAAACAGGGACGUGAAAAUGCAUUUGGAGAGAUCUUCAAAUUCCUUGAGGAUUUGAAAUUUUCAUUUUUAUUUCAACAAUAACUUGUUCAGCCAGGCGUGAGCCAUCCCACCUGGCUCAACGUCUGGUCUUUUACAAACUCAUAAUGACAAUAGGAUAGUAGGUUUUAAAAUUUUUUUUACUUGUCAAUAUUUUAAUAACCCUAUGUGAGUUUCUCAAAUUUCUAAAACAUUUUACUAUUAGGGGAUAUCCAAAGGACACAAGCCUUGGUUUAGUAUUUUGAAGACAAAAGGACAAACUGCAAUGUGAAUCGUAGCCACGGGGUGGCAAUACUUACCCACCAAUUCUGUCUCCUAUGAAAGGCUAAAACAUCCUAAACGUCUAUUUGGCCAAUAAAGAGCUGGAUUUGUAGCCACAACUGGGCUUUUCUAUUUUGCUAUCAAAACUUGGUUGGUUUUGUAGACUGCUUCUGUGCUAGAAAAUACUUACUUUUCUGGCUGGGCGUGAGCCACCACCGCACCCAUACUGGAUUGUUUGUCUCUUAUUA